AGUGAACGCUGGCGGCGUGCCUAACACAUGCAAGUCGAACGAUGAUGGAGAGCUUGCUCUCCUGAUUAGUGGCGCACGGGUGAGUAUACCAUAGAUAAUGUACCUCUUAGUUCGGGAUAGCCACUGGAAACGGUGAUUAAUACCGGAUACUCCUUCUUGUCUUAAGGCAAGUCGGGAAAGUUUUUUCGCUAAGAGAUCAGUCUGUGUCCUAUCAGCUAGUUGGUGAGGUAAUGGCUCACCAAGGCAAUGACGGGUAUCUGGUUUGAGAGGAUGAUCAGACACACUGGAACUGAGACACGGUCCAGACUCCUACGGGAGGCAGCAGUGAGGAAUAUUGCACAAUGGAGGAAACUCUGAUGCAGCAACGCCGCGUGGAGGAUGACGCAUUUCGGUGUGUAAACUCCUUUUAAGAGGGAAGAUAAUGACGGUACCUCUUGAAUAAGCACCGGCUAACUCCGUGCCAGCCGCCGCCGUAACAC
rnacentral:rRNA from 1 species